rnacentral:snRNA from 1 species
AGCUUGAGUUACUCUUCAUUAUCGCAGAAAUCUUUCGCCUUUUACUAAAGAUUUCUGUGGAGAGGAACUUUUUGUGAGUGGCCUGUAUUUUUGGAUGCUCUGGUCAGAGCAGUGCU